rnacentral:rRNA from 1 species
UACGUAGGGUCCGAGCGUUGUCCGGAAUUAUUGGGCGUAAAGAGCUCGUAGGCGGCUUGUCACGUCGGGGUGUGAAAGCCCGGGGCUUAACCCCGGGUCUGCAUUCGAUACGGGCUAGCUAGAGUGUGGUAGGGGAGAUCGGAAUUCCUGGUGUAGCGGUGAAAUGCGCAGAUAUCAGGAGGAACACCGGUGGCGAAGGCGGAUCUCUGGGCCAUUACUGACGCUGAGGAGCGAAAGCGUGGGGAGCGAACAGG